rnacentral:misc_RNA from 1 species
UUGUUCUUAUUUGUGUAGUACUCAGACGGCAGGUUCAAGACGAGUUUUGAGGGCCUCUGGCGGGCGCUGUCCAGCCGGGUGGCCGGCGGCGGAGGACCGCCGGCCCGCCAAAGCAACAGGUUCGAAGUUAACACAGGGUGGGAGCAGAGGCCCGGAGGCCUCGGUACUCUGUAAUGAUCCUUCCGCAGGUUCACCUACCUAGAAAAAAAUUAGCAUCUCGUCUCGACAAUAACUCGAGGUGUGGAUCUGGACUUACGGAAA